rnacentral:rRNA from 1 species
UACAGAGGGUGCAAGCGUUAAUCGGAUUUACUGGGCGUAAAGGGCGCGUAGGCGGUUGUGUGAGUGUGAUGUGAAAGCCCCGGGCUUAACCUGGGAAGUGCAUCGCAAACGACAUAACUGGAGUAGGUGAGAGGGUGGCGGAAUUUCCGGUGUAGCGGUGAAAUGCGUAGAGAUCGGAAGGAACGUCAAUGGCGAAGGCAGCCACCUGGCACCAUACUGACGCUGAGGCGCGAAAGCGUGGGGAGCGAACAGG